rnacentral:tRNA from 1 species
GGAGAUUUAGCUCAGCGGUAGAGCGCUUGCCUAGCAAACGCAAGGCCCUGGGUUCGGUCCCCAGCUCCG